rnacentral:sRNA from 1 species
CGUCUUCCAUCUGUUGUGGGCAGAUGAAAUGGAUAUGGCUAUCAAAUCCACCUGCUGUCAGAAUUUUACCUUCACCUGCGAUAAUUUCGGUUCCGGGACCAAUGAUGAUAUCAACACCAGUUUGCGUAUCAGGGUUACCUGCUUUGCCAAUCUUAUGAAUUUGGCCACCCAGCAGGGCUACGUCAGCUUUGUAAAUGCCCGAAACAUCAACAAUCAGUGCAUUCGUGAUGACCGUAUCAACCGCGCCGUUCGCACGGGUCACUUGUGAUUGACCCAUCCCAUCGCGAAUG